AUUGAACGCUGGCGGCAUGCCUAACACAUGCAAGUCGAACGGCAGCACAGCAGUAGCAAUACUGUGGGUGGCGAGUGGCGGACGGGUGAGGAAUACGUCGGAAUCUGCCCAGUCGUGGGGAUAACUAGCCGAAAGGUUAGCUAAUACCGCAUACGACCGAGAGGUGAAAGCGGGGGACCGCAAGGCCUCGCGCGAUUGGAUGAGCCGACGUCGGAUUAGCUAGUUGGCGGGUAAAGGCCCACCAAGGCGACGAUCCGUAGCUGGUCUGAGAGGAUGAUCAGCCACACUGGAACUGAGACACGGUCCAGACUCCUACGGGAGGCAGCAGUGGGGAAUAUUGGACAAUGGGCGCAAGCCUGAUCCAGCAAUGCCGCGUGUGUGAAGAAGGCCUCGGUUGUAAG
rnacentral:rRNA from 1 species